rnacentral:lncRNA from 1 species
AAUUUAUAAUCACAUUCUACAUUUUUAUUAUUGUACGUUAAACUUUCUUUCAUGGUAAAUUGGAAUCAUUAUAAUUUUUUAUCAAUUAAUUUAGUAAAACUUAAAAAUACUCCCUAAAUCAGUGGAAUAACCACUACAAAAUCGCUAUUUUCUUGAAAAAAGAGGACAACAAAGGCUCUAAACCUCUUUCAACAUCAUCAUCAUAUAUUAGUGUAAGAUGCAAGUAUGUAUUAAAACAAUAUUGUCAUAUUUGUUUGAAAUUUUCUAAAAAUUUAUGUGUUAACCUCUACAAAAAUAUUAAAUUUUGGUAAAUGCUUUAUAUAUUGAACCCUAUAAUCUUUAGUGUUGUUUUAAAAUUUCUAAUCACAUUCUACAUUUGUAUUAAUGUAUUCUAAACUCUAUUUCAUGGUGCAUGAGCAUCGUUCAAUAUUUUUUAUAAAUUAAUUUAGUAAAACUUCAUAUUCUCCCUAAAUUUGAGGACUGGCCAUUAUAAAAUCGCUAUUCUCUAGAGGAAAGGAGACAACAAAGGUUUCAAACCUCUUUGACCAUCAUCAUAUAUUAGUACAGGAGGCAACUAUAUUUUUUGAAUUUUUCUUAAUACUAUGUGUUAACCCCUACGAAAAUAUUGAAUUUUACUUUAAACGCUCUAUAUACUGAAGCCUAAACUUUUUAGUGUUAUUUUAAAAUUUUAAGCCAUAUUCUUUUUUUUUUUUUUUUUUUUUUUUUUUUUUUUUUUUUUUUUUUUUU